rfam:Pteropus alecto contig103514, whole genome shotgun sequence.
GUGCUCGCUUCGGCAGCACAUAUACUAAAAUUGGAACGAUACAGAGAAGAUAAGCAUGGCCCCUGUGCAAGGAUGGCACGCAAAUUUGUGAAAUGUUAAACAUUUUU